GAUGAACGCUGGCGGCGUGCCUAAUACAUGCAAGUCGAGCGAACGGACGAGAAGCUUGCUUCUCUGAUGUUAGCGGCGGACGGGUGAGUAACACGUGGAUAACCUACCUAUAAGACUGGGAUAACUUCGGGAAACCGGAGCUAAUACCGGAUAAUAUUUUGAACCGCAUGGUUCAAAAGUGAAAGACGGUCUUGCUGUCACUUAUAGAUGGAUCCGCGCUGCAUUAGCUAGUUGGUAAGGUAACGGCUUACCAAGGCAACGAUGCAUAGCUGACCUGAGAGGGUGAUCGGCCACACUGGAACUGAGACACGGUCCAGACUCCUACGGGAGGCAGCAGUAGGGAAUCUUCCGCAAUGGGCGAAAGCCUGACGGAGCAACGCCGCGUGAGUGAUGAAGGUCUUCGGAUCGUAAAACUCUGUUAUUAGGGAAGAACAUAUGUGUAAGUAACUGUGCACAUCUUGACGGUACCUAAUCAGAAAGCCACGGCUAACUACGCG
rnacentral:rRNA from 1 species